CUGUGAGUCCACUUGGGUCACGGGAUUAUCAAUUGGAAGGCGUCACAGUUCUGAGCACUUCCCGCAGGGCGCACCCAAGUGCGCAUUCAUCUGUGCGCUGCGCUGGGCGCACCUCCAAACAAGCUACUGCGCGCACCACUCCGGCUGCAGCAAGCAGCUGCUUUCCAUCAGCACUCAACACACCUGUCGCUGAUGAGCUCCCUCGGCUUCUUAAGCCAGUGCAGACCGGCGUUCCGGGCCAGAACUUAGCGACUUGUUCCUGUACACAUUCCUCCGUUCCCGCGUCACCAGAUGUGUGUCUCGUCUCCCCGUAUUCCCUCCGGUUCCCUGGCUGCCUCUUGGAUCUCGACCUCCCGCCUGGACACAGACUUUGGCGCCUUGCCCCUGCC